rnacentral:tRNA from 1 species
GGUGGCUCAGUGGUAGAGUGCUUGCUUUGCAUGCAUGAGUCCGUGGGUUCGAUUCCUCAGCACCA